GCCUGUGUGUUGGCCAGAGGACAGUCAAAGGCUUAUGUGGACUGGAAGCAGAUGUAUACCAAAGCCCACAGGAUUCCCUCACGGGGAAACUGAACUCAGGACCAGAAGGAAAUUGCUGGCUAGUGACGGAGAAAGGAGUGCCAUUUUGGGCCUGUGUGCCUGCUGAACGUACAAGGGACUGACAUGCAGAGAGGCCACUCUGGAGAGAGACGAGGGCAUGAGGGUCAGAGAAGAUCAAGAAAUCACAAUGAGUAAACGAUGAGAAAAUCCCUGACUUCUGCCCCGUUGAGGCCUGAUUCAGUGUUUCCUAGUUCUCCUUGAGAACUCUCUACCCAUCCUUGUACUAAUCCCAUCUUUUAUUGGAGCUACUUUCAGUGAAUUUCUGAUCCUUGCAAUCAAAAGCAUCCAGACUAAAAUAGUCCAGAUCAAAGUGGUACUGGGGAUUGAAGAACCACUGAGCUGUAUACCCCUCUGCCCUCCGCCUGUCGCCCCCUGUUCCGACCCCGCCACGCACGCGGCAGAGGCCAUCCUGGCGAACACACUGACCGACUUCGCCCUGAAGUUCUACCGCGCCUUUGUGGCCACGAAGAACUCUGAAACCAAUGUGGCCUUCUCCCGCUUCAGCAUUGCUGGCCUGCUCACGCAGGUCCUGCUGGGAACUUCUUUAAAAGAAGUUUUGGAAGAGAAAUAACCAUACACUGGUCAUGAGCAACAUCUGUGAGCACACAGGACAUGAGAAGAGCACUGCCCUGCGUGUCAAGAGACUUAGAUUCAAGACACCGAGACCUCGCCGUCGACCUUGAGGACCUAAGUUAAUUCACUACCCAAGUAGCGUUCACUCACAGGUUUAUUGAUUGUGAGCCACUUUGGAGGCUGAUCGUGUGAUCAUUGAACAGUAGAGUUUGCAUUGUACAAAGAAGGAAAAAUGAGGAGCUACAGUGAACAAGAUCUUGGAAAUGUGAAUGUGGUAAUGGCAAUGCAGAACAGAAGGACAGCAAUGCAGAAUUCCCACAGAAGAAGAGACCCACAUGGGGCAGCAGUGACGGAUGAGAUGUGUGUGGUUGAGGGAGGGCUUGAAAGGCCAGGCUCAUGUGUUUACACUUAACAGGGCAGUGGUAGACCAUGGUAGAGUCUGUUUCACAUUUAAAUGUUUCUAAUGAAAUGUUACAUAUAUACAAAUACACAUGCAAAUAUAAAAUAUGGUCUUGAGUCUGGGGCAUCUUGAGAAUAGGGUAUCAUUGUUAGACAUGAGGAGGAAAGGGCAUUUUAUUGGGAGCAGGCAGAGGGUGAGGUGCAGAGAUUGUGAUGAAUACAGUUUAAGAAGCCUUUGAGGCAAUUGAGAAUGUUGUUUCUGAGUUGAAAUCUAUCUUGGUUGGCAUGGCGUCUGUGUGGAGACAGCUUGCUGGAGCAUAGGGAGGCAGCACAGUUCAGCAGGUCUCAAGGAUUCUAGCAUCCAGGUCCAUAGCCAUCCGCCAUGUGCUUUCAGGGGAACCAGACAAGGAAACUCUCCAGGAAGGAAACUCUCUGGUUUAAGCUGCUCCUCUGCACAACAGGCAACCAGAUCUGUGACUAAGAAGUGAACUUGUUUUCCCCCAAGCUUCUUUGAAUCAUGAACUUGCUUAAUGGCACAAGAACAGACAAGCAGCCAUUACAACAAAGGGAAGCACCUCAGGUGCUGCCUUUGGUGUCUGAGGCUGGUCCUUCCUGACACAACCUGCCCCUCUUGUUCAUUAAGAGCUGCUGGAGUGAUGGAUCACCCCCAAGGCUAGGCACAAAGCAAUGCAGAGAAUGCUAUUAGUUCUGGGACUCCUGGCCCGUAUUGGGCAGUCACUGUAGAGCACAUGGGUGAGUUUUAUGAUUCAGAGCUUUAAACACUUGGGCACCUUAUUAGUGUGACUAGUACAGCGACAGAUAGCAGGACACGGAAGGGGCUCUAAAGUAUUGCCAAAAUUUCAAAAUAGUUUUAAAGCAUAAUUAAACAAACAGUAGAGUUUUUAUUGUCAUUAUUACUAGAUCAUGGGAGAAGCCCUAGGGUUGAGACCUAGCCUUGUAACUUAUAAACUGUGUGAUCUUAAGAAAGUGACUUUAGCUUUUCUAGUUUUAUUAAGAUGUAAAUGAAAAAAAUGCGUUUAUUUGUGAUAUACAACGUGCUAUUUGGUACAUGUACACAGUGUGAAAUGAUAACCAUGUUCAAGUUAAUCAAUGUGACUAUCACUUUGCAUAAUUAUCUUUGUGGGUGUGUAUGUGCAUUGAAAACAUUUCAGAUUUACUCUGAGCGAUUUUCAAAUAUACAAUACAUGAUUACAAACUCUCGUUACUGUGUUGUACCGUAGGUUUCCGGAAGUUAUUAGCUAAAGCUUUGUACUCUUUGACCAACUUCUCCUCUUUCCCUAUCUGUACCUUCAGGCCCCAGAAACUCCUGUUCAAUAAAGUGACUUUGAUUUGUUCCCAGCGCCCUUCUCUGUUAGGUGAGAGUGGUUAUCAUGCUAAGUAGAUUACAUAUGUGAGAGGGCUUUGCAAAAAUAAAGUUUGUUUAAAUUUUUUGUUGUGUGAAGAACAUAGUGAAAUACACCAAUACCUAAUAGCUCUUGGAGUGAUGAUACUGAGCACCUCGAAGUGCAAGGCCAUGCUCAAGUGCUUCCUGUUCCUUAUCUCAUCCAGUCUCUACAGACAUCACUUUGGUGCAGGUGUUACUACCUUUUCUCCACCGUGCAGGAAACUAGAGCUUGGAGAUUUUAAGUCACUUACAUAAAGAGGUAAACCUAAGUAUAUAGGAGCCCAAAGUAUAUAUGGCCCAGGAAGCCUUGCUGGCUGCACAGGCAGAGCUCCAGGCUGGUGGCACCUUGGUGUGGUCCCCAAGGUCUAGAACCCCUGCCUCAGAAAUUUAACUGUUAGCAUUUGCAGGAGUGAACUAGACUCAUGCAUUGAUUUACUUUAACCUAACUUAGGAGAGACUGAUAGAUAAUUCUGGAAGGUCAAUUUAUUAAUUUUUAAUGAGAAACAUAUCUAAUAAGAAGAUUGAUAACAGAUCAUGUAGGAAAGCUAAAUUCUAGUCAACAGCUUGCUCAGUAGUGAGGACCUCAGAGCACACAUGUUGGUAAUAAUAGUAACAAUUAUAGCAAUGAUGUUAAUAAUAAACACAUUUACCAGCUACUGUUUGCAGAACCCCAAGUGCUUUAUGUAAACUAAUCCAUUUGAUCUCUACAGUAACCCUAGGUAGGUACUGUUUGGUUCUCAUUUUAUAGAUGAAGAAACUGAAGUACAGCAAGGUUAGAUAACUUACCAAAGGCAAUGAGGGCAAUGAACAGUAGAGCUGGAACUUGGUCCCAGCCCUGCCCCACUGAGGAAUGAUCUGCUCCCAAAGGCAGUGCCACAUGGGAAGAUUUCUGUGCCAUGACCAGUGUGAAAGUUGGGGCACCAUGCAUAGCUGGUAGCAGAGGCAGUUUGUGAGAAGGCCGGCAUGGGAGGCUGAGUAGGAAGAGAACAGGGGUCAGGAAAUUCAGCAUGGGGUGGGGAGAGGGCAGCAAGGCUUUUGAUGGGCCUGGAAAGUGAGUGGGGUCUAGAAAGGUGAGCCUCUUUGGAAGCACAGAAAUGAAUGGAACCAGAAUGUGGAGGAGGGCUGGGGUAAGCAUACCUAGGACUGCGGGUUUGUGCUGGGAAGCAGUGGGAAGAAGCAUACCCAAGGUCCGCCAAGGGAUGGAGUGUGGGUGAGCCUCAAAUGCUGACUGGGCUAGUGUCCAGAGCUUGCUGUGCAUAGGUGGCUCUUUGCUGGGCGCAGUUCAGAGUGGAGGGCUGGCUUUGUGUCAGGUGUUGGGGGGAAGGGGAUGACAAGGCUGCAGAAGUUCAUUUCUCACCCUCACCAUGCUCAUGGUGUCGUCAAAGUGGGAAGGACUAGUCAGAAGAGUACAGAACUCCAUGGUGGUGGCUGUCACAGAGAUAGAAAUGAGCAGCUGCAAGACAACCAGAUAUGUACCUCCAGUCAUGCGUGACUGAGAACUCAGUCUAGAAGCAUAAGAAACCACAACUUGUCACAGAGAAAGCCUGGAGGGGUAUUAUCAGACCUCGCAAAGGCAGGGUCAAAGGGUAAGGCUAGGUGCCCAAGGAUCAGGGAGGCUCAGGUUGGCAGGGCGUAGACAGGAAUGAUGUGUGUGUAAAGAAGGGUGUCUCUGCCCCUCACACUGCUAUGGUUUGGAUAAGUAAUCUUCGGAGGCCCCUGAAUUAAAGGGUUUUUCCCCAGAGUGGUGCUAGUGGCAGAUGAUGGAACCUCAAGAGAUGA